UAAGUGAAUAGUGAAAUCUGGUGGCUCAACCAUUCAGGCUAUUAUUCAAACUGGCAAACUCGAGGGUGGUAGAGGUCACUGGAAUUUCUUGUGUAGGAGUGAAAUCCGUAGGUAUAAGAAGGAACACCGAUGGCGUAGGCAGGUGACUGGACCAUUUCUGACGCUAAGGCACGAAAACGUGGGGAGCGAACCGGAUUAGAUACCCGGGUAGUCCACGCCGUAAACGAUGGAUACUG
rnacentral:rRNA from 1 species